rnacentral:rRNA from 1 species
UACGUAAGGUGCAAGCGUUGUCCGGAAUUAUUGGGCGUAAAGAGCUCGUAGGCGGUUUGUCGCGUCUGCUGUGAAAACCCGAGGCUCAACCUCGGGCCUGCAGUGGGUACGGGCAGACUAGAGUGCGGUAGGGGAGAUUGGAAUUCCUGGUGUAGCGGUGGAAUGCGCAGAUAUCAGGAGGAACACCAAUGGCGAAGGCAGAUCUCUGGGCCGUAACUGACGCUGAGGAGCGAAAGCAUGGGGAGCGAACAGG